AGACUGGGAUGCUGGGAAGGAUUCUCCAUUAGCCUGGCGCUCUGAAGUUGUGAAGCCCUCCGAGCAUUCUGCAGAUGUGUCUGCAGGGACGACCUCACCAACUCCUACCUUGGAUGCUGCACAGAAGCCCAGCUCCCAUGGCAGGGGAGAGACCAAAGACAUGGCAGGCAAGAAAUUCCAGGACCCAAUAGAAAUUACGUGGCAAAUGCUGAAGGAAUGUCUGCAGAGAUGAAAAG